CGUUCAGGCGGUUUGGCAAGUCGGGCAUGAAAUCUCUCGGCUCAACCGGGAGAGGUUGUCCGAUACUGUCAGACUGGAGGGCAGUAGAGGGUGGUGGAAUUCCGGGUGUAGUGGUGAAAUGCGUAGAGAUCCGGAGGAACACCAGUGGCGAAAGCGGCCACCUGGACUGCACCUGACGCUGAAACGCGAAAGCUAGGGGAGCGAACGGGAUUAGAAACCCCGGUAGUCCUAGCUAUAAACGAUGUUGACUAGGUGUCGACGGGUUAAAAUCCGCCGGUGCCGGAGCAAACGCAUUAAGUCAACCGCCUGGGGACUACGGCCGCAAGGUUAAA
rnacentral:rRNA from 1 species